UGCUUGGUUUUAUCACAUGAUAAGGAGCCUCUAUGAAAGUAUAAUCUCUUGAUGAAUGAUUUUGUUUGUCUGCAGUCAUUCCAGAAGCAACCGUUUGUUUGUUUUCUUGAUUCAUAAGUUUUACUGAAACAACAACACCAUGUAGUGAAUUGGCAAUGAACAUCUCUCCCUUACAGUAUCUAAAUUACACACAUAGAACUUCAGAAUCUUGAUCGUGGAUUUGUCAACAUAUCCCUCCAAAUAAAUUCUGCUUCGAUUUGUGCUUUCAGAAAUAGGCUUAUUCGUAGAAAUGGCAUGGAAAGAUGAACUGAAGGGAUGUUCUAAGAUCAAACCAAUUAUUGUCUUCGGAAACCAGAAUAAAUUGGUGCCUUGAAAUUUUGUCACCUGAAAUCCUUCGUUUAUAUCUGCCACAUCAAUAAACUUCAUAACAUACAUUAGUUGAUUGCUAGCUAGAUAAAUAUCAAAGGAGCAAAAAGUUGGAGAUCAGACAAAGAUUCAAAUAGGCCAGUAUCCAUGGCUACCUCAGUUUUUUUUUUGUCUUUUGGAGAAUGCUUCAGGGAUGAAGCUAAGAGGACUUGAACAAGCAGUGAUGGCAGCAGCAGAAAUCAUGUAAGAACAGUAGCAUUGAGUAGGGAAUGAAGAAUUAUUGACAACCUCAGAGGAACUAGCUAAUAGAGAAAAAACAUGGUCAGGUUUGAUUCUCAUUUCUUUUAUUCUAGUAAUUUAUCUUGGGACAGAAACAUGGUUAUGUAUAUUAAUAACAAAGAACAGAUGGUCAUGAACAAUUAGUAGAACUCUAACCAUUUUGUUUUUUGCUUUUUGUUACAAUCACAUAAAUACCACUAUGCCCGCUAAUUAUCACUCUAAAAUCUCGCCGUAAUGGGAAAAAAAAAUCAUUUGAAAAAGUUGCAUUAAGAUUCGGAACGAAAACAUAAUUUUAUUUUUUUUAAAUUUAAGAUCUGUAGAACUUUCAAUGUAGAUAAAUUUUUUAAAGAUAUUGUCUCCAAAAUUUCAGUGGAUCGCCGCUAAUAAAAACACGAGUGACUAAUCCAUGGACUGGAUCCGGCUUAUGUGAGCUCUUGAUCAUGCCGAGGAGAGAACCAUGGGCCUCAAAGACAUUAUUGCUCUGUGGAUUAUUGGAUUGAAGGGAACUUUGAAGAUGGAAUUCACUGCACUUAGUUUUAGCAUAAAUAAAAGCAUCAUAGAAUUGCUUUAGAACGGUGCCGGAUUUUUCUCCAUUUCUUCAGAUAUUACACAUGACCUACCUAAUUACUUUUGAUCUUUGUCAGUUUUGCAAAUGAGAAUGAUCUGUUUGAGAUGUUCCACUUCCAAGGAUUCUUCAGCUACAGUCUUCAACUUCCCCUCAGGUUCAUGAUAGAACAUAAUGUCUACUGAUGUAGUAGGAUGCUGCUAUCAAGUUCAGAUUGGCAUCACUUUACUCCUCACAAAGUGAAAUCAUCAAAAGCUAGAUACCCCAACAAGAGGCUGAAAUGAAGCCCUUUUUUUAAGCUUUCUAGGAGAAUAAAGUCAUAGAAGAGUGUCCCCAUCAUCAAGUAAUAUUCCUCUCUCUCUCUCUCUCUCUCUCUCCCUCUAUCUCUCUCUCUCUCUCUGUCUCUCUCUUGCUAAAAUAAUGUGAAUGUAAGCUCUGUGUCUAUGUUGCAAUUUCUAUAGAACAGAAGGUGAUCAAAGAUGGUGAGACACUCCAUCAGUAAGCAAUUCACCUGAAACCCUUUUUCCCUUACCCAAUUUCAAUGGUUGAUACUAAUGGCAUUGUAAAGUCACAAUGAAUGCAUGACAACAAAAAUAUAAUGAAGUAUUAUAGCCAUGCAUUCUGGUUGGAUCACUCCUAAUAUAAAAUGAUAACUCACUAACUAAUAAGGAAAAGCUAAGAUCAAUUUGAUGCCCUUCACAUGUUACAUGUCCUCUCCUUGUCGUUUCACAUCUUUGUAUGGAACCAUUCACUAUUGUUUAUUGUCUCUUAAACAACAUCAUCACCAUCACAAAACAAACAACCAAGGCAUGUUUGUUGGCAUUUAUUGUCUCUUAAAUAUAAUCCUUGCAUGUUUGUAUGCAAGGAUUAUAUUUUUCUAUCUUCUCCCUCAUUAGUAUCUAACAUUUGUUUAUAAGAUCGUCGUCCUAUAAUGUAUAAAAAUGAAUUCUCGCUAUCUCCUAAAUCCUAUAUUGUCAUUAUGUAUAAUCAUCUAUUCUUCUCUUUCCUUUUUUUUUUUUCUAUUUUUCCAGUAUUUAUCAUUUAAUUAUUUGUGUACAUUUGGUAGGGUUGCAAUUCAUCUCAUAUUAAUUAGAGAGUCUGAAGAAUCAAAACCUAAUUAAGAGUGACUCCAAAAUCAUAUUUGACACGACUAACAGUUCAUGAAAUCAUAUUUGACAUUCUAAAAUAUCCAUCCCAAAAGGUUUGUAUCGAUGACACGAUUAACAUUGUAUAAGAUUAUAAUUAGCUAUAAUGAUGACCAGAUACCUUUUUUAUAUGGGUUGCGCAACAGGUGUUCGACCGAGUGCCACUGAGCCCAACCGAG
rnacentral:lncRNA from 1 species